rnacentral:rRNA from 1 species
AGUGAACGCUGGCGGUAGGCCUAACACAUGCAAGUCGAACGGCAGCACAGUAAGCGCUUGCUCUUACGGGUGGCGAGUGGCGGACGGGUGAGGAAUACAUCGGAAUCUACUUUUUCGUGGGGGAUAACGUAGGGAAACUUACGCUAAUACCGCAUACGACCUACGGGUGAAAGCAGGGGAUCUUCGGACCUUGCGCGAUUGAUUGAGCCGAUGUCGGAUUAGCUAGUUGGCGGGGUAAAGGCCCACCAAGGCGACGAUCCGUAGCUGGUCUGAGAGGAUGAUCAGCCACACUGGAACUGAGACACGGUCCAGACUCCUACGGGAGGCAGCAGUGGGGAAUAUUGGACAAUGGGCGCAAGCCUGAUCCAGCCAUACCGCGUGGGUGAAGAAGGCCUUCGGGUUGUAAAGCCCUUUUGUUGGGAAAGAAAAGCAGCAGGUUAAUACCCCGCUGUUCUGACGGUACCCAAAGAAUAAGCACCGGCUAACUUCGUG